rnacentral:rRNA from 1 species
AUACGGAGGGUCCAAGCGUUAUCCGGAUUCAUUGGGUUUAAAGGGUUCGUAGGCGGAUAAAUAAGUCAGUGGUGAAAUCCCGAAGCUCAACAUCGGAACUGCCAUUGAAACUGUUUAUCUUGAAUUUAGUUGAAGUGGGCGGAAUAUGACAUGUAGCGGUGAGAUGCAUAGAUAUGUCAUGGAACACCAAUAGUGAAGACAGCUCACUAAGCUAAUAUUGACGCCGAUGAACGAAAGCAUGGGUAGCGAACAGGAUUAGAAACCCCGGUAGUCC